rnacentral:rRNA from 1 species
AACGUAGGAGACAAACGUUAUCCGGAGUUACUGGGCGUAAAGGGCGUGCAGGCGGUCGACUAAGUCUGGCGUGAAAGCUCUCGGCUAAACCGGGAGAGGUCGUUGGAUACUGGUUGACUAGAGGACGGUAGAGGCGUGUGGAAUUCCGGGUGUAGUGGUGAAAUGCGUAGAUCUCGAGAGGAACACCAGUGGCGAAGGCGGGUCUCUGGGCAACACCUGACGCUGAGGCACGAAAGCCAGGGGAGCAAACGGG